GAACGCACCUUGCGCCCCUUGGUAUUCCGAGGGGCACACCCGUUUGAGUGUCGUGAAAAUCUCAACCUCCUCGGUUUCUUCUGGACGCCGAAGGAGGCUUGGACUUUGGAGGCCUUUGCUGGCGUCUCUCGCCAGCUCCUCUCAAAUGAAUUAGCGGGGUCCUCUUUGCCGAUCCUCGACGUGUGAUAAGAUGUUUCCAUGUCUUGGUUUCUGGCUCUGUCGCCUUUGGGACCCGCUUCUAACCGUCUCAAGUCGAGACAACGUUUGAGCGUGUCUCCCUUCUCGGGAAACACCCUCGAGCCCACGAACCCUUGACCUCAAAUCGGGUGAGACUACCCGCUGAACUUAAGCAUAUCAAUAAGCGGAGG
rnacentral:rRNA from 1 species